GUCUACAGCCAUGCUACCCUGAACAAACUCGAUUCUGUCUGAUCUCAGAAGCUAAGCAAGGUCGGGCCUGGUUAGUACUUGGAUGAGAGACCACCUAGGAAGACCAGGUGCUGUAGGCA
rnacentral:rRNA from 1 species